rnacentral:rRNA from 1 species
CCCUUAGAUGUCCUGGGCCGCACGCGCGUUACACUGAUGCAUGCAACGAGUUUAUAACCUUGGCCUGAAAGGUCUGGGUAAUCUUUUGAACGUGCAUCGUGAUAGGGAUAGAUUAUUGCAAUUGUUAAUCUUGAACGAGGAAUUCCUAGUAAACGCGAGUCAUCAGCUCGCAUUGAUUACGUCCCUGCCCUUUGUACACACCGCCCGUCGCACCUACCGAUUGAAUGGUUCGGUGAAGAUCUCGGACUUCGAUAUUUAUUCUUUAUUGAGUUUAUAUUGUGGGAAGUUAUCUAAACCUCAUCAUUUAGAGGAAGGUGAAGUCGUAACA